GUCGUAACAAGGUCUCCGUUGGUGAACCAGCGGAGGGAUCAUUACAGAGUUGCAAAACUCCAACAAACCAUCGCGAAUCUUACCCGUACGGUUGCCUCGGCGCUGGCGGUCCGGAAGGCCCUCGGGCCCCCGGAUCCUCGGGUCUCCCGCUCGCGGGAGGCUGCCCGCCGGAGUGCCGAAACCAAACUCUUGAUAUUUUAUGUCUCUCUGAGUAAACUUUUAAAUAAGUCAAAACUUUCAACAACGGAUCUCUUGGUUCUGGCAUCGAUGAAGAACGCAGCGAAAUGCGAUAAGUAAUGUGAAUUGCAGAAUUCAGUGAAUCAUCGAAUCUUUGAACGCACAUUGCGCUCGCCAGUAUUCUGGCGAGCAUGCCUGUUCGAGCGUCAUUUCAACCAUCAAGCUCUGCUUGCGUUGGGGAUCCGCGUCUGACGCGGUCCCUCAAAAACAGUGGCGGGCUCGCUAGUCACACCGAGCGUAGUAACUCUACAUCGCUAUGGUCGUGCGGCGGGUUCUUGCCGUAAAACCCCCAAUUUCUAAGGUUGACCUCGGAUCAGGUAGGAAUACCCGCUGAACUUAAGCAUAUCAAUAA
rnacentral:rRNA from 1 species